rnacentral:sRNA from 1 species
CAAUAAGAAGAGACCCGUCAUCCAUAAAGUAAACAUUUUCUUUUUCAUUGUUUUCUACAAUUUGAUGUUAAUAUUCAUUUUUCGUUAGUCACUAUUCGUUAUUCGUUUCUUUUGUUGUUCAGAGCGUUCUUUCCGUUACUUUUGGCUUGAUCCAAAAGUAACCCAAAGGUUAAGGCUUCGUGCGCUUCGCUUCGCUCUUCCCCCCUUUGAAGGGAUAACAUCCCCCCUUCGCUUCGCUCUUCCCCCCUUUGAAGGGGGGGGAAGGGGGGAUGUCCCUCUGCGUUCGGUCUUUUGUCAUUCAGAGCGAAGCGAAUCUGAAUGACAAAUUAAUUGUUAAUUGUCAAUGGUAAAUGGUUAUGCGUGGUACACGCCGAAUCAUGUACCCGGUAUGACAAUUGACCAUUGAAAAAGAGCCCUGAAAGGGCGUAAUAAUUCAGCCCAAUGUGGAGCGUAGCGAAGCGUUGGGAAACAGGGCACCCCCCUCGGCUGAGGGCUGAAAGCCUGACAUAAUUCAAUUGUCAAUGGUUAAUUGUUAUGCCGGGUACACGGUAUCCGAACGCCGCGUUUGUCAUUCCGAACAUAGUGAGGAAUCCCGCCCCGAAAACGGAAAGAGAUUCGCGAAGCGAAGAAUCUCCUUUCCUUUUCCUCGCGGGAUUCCUCACUGUGUUCGGAAUGACAAAGGGGGUUAUUUGCUUUCAUUCGCGUUAUUUGCGUUAUUUGCGUUCGGAUAACCCUGCAUAACAAUUAACAAUUGACCAUUAACAAUUGAAUUAUGUCAGGCUUUCAGCCCUUGUGCCCUGUGCGGGCCAAUCUCUUCUUCCCCCUUUGAAGGGGGGGAGGGGGAUGUUCCUCUGCGUUCGGAUACCGUGUACCCGGCAUAACAAUUAACCAUUGACAAUUAACCAUUAAUUUGUCAUUCAAUUCCUCACUGUGUUCGGAAUGACAAAGGGGGUUAUUUGCUUUCAUUCGCGUUAUUUGCGUUAUUUGCGUUCGGAUAACCCUGCAUAACAAUUAACAAUUGACCAUUAACAAUUGAAUUAUGUCAGGCUUUCAGCCCUUGUGCCCUGUGCGGGCCAAUCUCUUCUUCCCCCUUUGAAGGGGGGGAGGGGGAUGUUCCUCUGCGUUCGGAUACCGUGUACCCGGCAUAACAAUUAACCAUUGACAAUUAACCAUUAAUUUGUCAUUCAGAGCGUAAGCGACGAAUCUCUUUCCUCUUCCUCGCGAGAUUCCUCACGGUGUUCGGAAUGACAAAGGGUGGCGUUCGGAUUCCGUGUACCACGCAUAACAAUUAACCAUUGACAAUUAACAACUGAAUUACGUCAGGCUUUCAGCCCUCCGCCGAGGGGGUCGCCCUUUUUUCCCAACGCUUCGCAUUGGGCUGAAUUAAUACGCCCUUUCAGGGCUCUUACAGCUGUCAGCAAUCAGCCAACAACUCAACGCCUCAACAACUCAACAACUCAACACCCCGAAGGGGUUAGCUCGCAUGGGCACAAGGGCUGAAAGCCCGGUAUAUUUCAGCCCCAUCCCGCAAGGGUGGGGUAUCGAUUCCCAUACCCCGCUUUGAGGGCUGAAAGCCUGACAUAAUUUGACAGGUACGUAUGCGCCGCCCUAAUACGUGCUUAUUAGGCAUCCUAAUACGUGCUUAUUAGACGCCCUAAUAUGCCGGACUGA